AGCAAUGGGUCCAUGUGCCAUGCAAUAAUUUUGGUUUAUUUAAAAUUCAUGAAAUCCAAUUCCAUGUCACCAAUAAUUGCCACAUCAUCUGAGCCUAAUCCCCUUGGGUUGCACCUAAUCAAAUUUGGUCAAACCCGAAUUAAAACAAAGCAAUUUGGUUGAACCCAAUCUAACCAGGUCAGACCCCGAUUGAGCUCAAAUUGAAUCCAAUUCAAUUUUGGCUCAUGCAAACUCAAUCAAAUUGAAUUAUUACUUUGUGUUGGACCUAAUUCAAUUAGGUCAAUCCCCAAUUAAGAACAAAUUAAUUUAAAAUUAAUUUGAUCAGCUUAAGUCCUUUUUGGUUCUAACCUAAUCCAAUCAGGUCAAAACCCUGAUUGAGCCCAAACUUGAAUCCAAUUCAAUUUGGCUCAUCCUUAGCACAAUUACUCAAUCAAAUUGAGUUUAUUAGUAAUUUAAUUACUAAUUAAUCCUUCAAUAAUUACUUUAA
rnacentral:lncRNA from 1 species